ACGCCCCCCCGUCGCUUCCGCCUUGCUCUGGUAGGCGAAGCAGGAGCUACCGCGGAGGGGGAGCGAUGGAGGCAGCGGGGCUGGAGCAGCGGCAGCGAGGCCCGGAGCCGGCGCCGGCCACAGCGAAUGGCGACUGCAGCCGCCCCCUGUCGCUCUCCGGACAGUCCUACUGGCUCGACGUGUGGCUCUUCGUCCUCUUCGACCUGGCGCUGCUCGUCUUCGUCUAUCUAUUGCCCUGAGCCCGCGGUGGCAGCUCCUAUUCAAGAUGAAGAACCUUAUUUAUAAAAACAUGCUUUGGAAGAGGAAGACACUACAUGCAACAGGACAACUGGAAAUGAGACUCUCAAACCUGUUAAGCCAGAGUGCUAGUGAUACACAUUGAUCCAUUCAUGGAUGUACUGAUUUGAGGGGGUCUGGGGUUCAUCUAUAGCCUAUUUACUUCAGUGACAAUGUAAAGUGUGCCUUAAGUUAAAUUUAAAAAGUUUGAGGAUACUCUAGUUUCCAUAACAGUAAUAUAGAUUGCUCAUUUGUCUUUUACAUAAUGUUCAGUGUUUGAAUAAAGAUCAAUUGAAAAAAAUGGAACUUCA